GAUCCUGGCUCAGAAUAAACGCUGGCGGCGUGCCUAACACAUGCAAGUCGAACGAGAAAGUGGAGCAAUCCAUGAGUAAAGUGGCGCACGGGUGAGUAACACGUGACUAACCUACCCAGGAGUGGGGAAUAACUGAGGGAAACCUUAGCUAAUACCGCAUAACACCUACGGGUCAAAGGAGCAAUUCGCUUCUGGAGGGGGUCGCGGCCGAUUAGUUAGUUGGCGGGGUAAUGGCCCACCAAGACGAUGAUCGGUAUCCGGCCUGAGAGGGCGCACGGACACACUGGAACUGAAACACGGUCCAGACUCCUACGGGAGGCAGCAG
rnacentral:rRNA from 1 species